UACGGAGGGUGCAAGCGUUGUCCGGAAUCACUGGGCGUAAAGAGCUCGUAGGCGGCUUGUCACGUCGGUUGUGAAAGCCCGGGGCUUAACUCCGGGUCUGCAUUCGAUACGGGCAGGCUAGAGUUCGGUAGGGGAGAUCGGAAUUCCUGGUGUAGCGGUGAAAUGCGCAGAUAUCAGGAGGAACACCGGUGGCGAAGGCGGAUCUCUGGGCCGAUACUGACGCUGAGGAGCGAAAGCGUGGGGAGCGAACAGG
rnacentral:rRNA from 1 species